CCCCGCCAGGGCUCUCAGGGCCCUCUGCACCUGUGGGAAGGAAGGGACUUGGCCUCAGGCUGGAGACAGCUAUGCCUGAGGUCCCACCCACCACCACGCAAGGGCCUGGCAGCAGAACAGAAAGCGCCUACUCGGAGCGCGCAUGCUCCCUUUCGCACUGCCUGCGCCGGGCAGGACGCCGACUUUCUGGAGCCAGGAAGGAAGGCAUAUGCAAAGAAAUGAAUCUCAAAUGGUAGACACCUAGACAUCAGCUACAAGAAAAGUCCGGUGAAGAGGAGAGGAAGAGAUAGUGUCUUGCUGUGUAGUUCAGGCUGGCGUGAACUCACUAUGCAGCCCAGGCUGGCCUCGAGCUCGCACCAAUCUGCUUGCCUCAGCCUCCCAAGAGUGCUGGGAUCACAGGUGUGCACCACCACGCGUGGCUUUGUACCUGGGCGUUUCCUCCUUUGCUAGAAGGGCUCAAAAGCUUAAAGACCCCUCUGCUUGUCCGACUCCCAAAGGGUACACAAGAUCACAAGAUCGCCCUCGCCAUGCCACAGGACGCACCUUGGCCCUUCCCCUGUGGCCCAGUCUUCUCCUGCCAGACAGGAUGAGAAGCAGCCUCGCUGCGGGUUCUAAGUGUUCACUAUGGAAGCAACUGGGAUGCCUCACCUGGGCUAAGGAGCUUGAGAUCUGUUUGAUAAAAACCUCACCACCCAGAGCCCGAGGCUGGACUCUGGAGGAAGGAAACAAAAGGGAGAACUGAAAAACAAGUGAUGUAACUCCAAGGGGACACACAGCUGGAGCUGGGCAGAGCCCUCCUCUGGCCCCACAUCUGGAAGCGUGUGGUGACAGGAAAACGGCUGGACACAGCUGUGCUCCAGCUACACUCAAAUGGGAGGAGGAAGUGAAAGCAUUUUUAUAAAAA